CGCAUCUGUGCAUGCAGCAUAUCAAUAAGCGGAGGAAAAGAAACUAACAAGGAUUCCCUCAGUAACGGCGAGUGAAGCGGGAAGAGCUCAAAUUUGAAAUCUUAAAGGUCUACCUUGCACGAAUUGUAGUUUAAAGAAGUGUUUUCUGCUGACGAUCUGGUAAUAUAAGUUCUUUGGAAUAGGACAUCACAGAGGGUGAGAAUCCCGUCUAUGAUUGCGAUUUGUAGCUUUGUGAUACACUUUCAAAGAGUCGGGUUGUUUGGGAAUGCAGCCCAAAACGGGAGGUAAAUUUCUUCUAAGGCUAAAUAUUGGCGAGAGACCGAUAGCGAACAAGUACCGUGAGGGAAAGAUGAAAAGAACUUUGAAAAGAGAGUUAAAUAGUACGUGAAAUUGUCAAAAGGGAAGCGUUUAACACCAGUGUUGUUUUCUGAAAAUCAACCUCUGUUAGCUUUAUGCAUGUUUGUUUAGACCUAAUCAGCUAUCUUUCAUGUUCUAUUGUUUGCAGUGGUGCACUUUUCAGUUUACAGGUCAACAUCAGUUUUUUUUACCGUAAAAAAGUUAAAGAAAGGUAGCUCAUGGCUCCGGUCGUGAGUGUUAUAGUCUUUUUCCUAUGCGGUAGGAGAGACUGAGGUCUGCAGUGUAGGCUAUUUGGCUAGAUACUCAGGUGCUAUGUGAUACCAUUUCAUAAACAACUUGUUGAUUAUGUUUUGUCUAUUGCAUACUCGCUUGUACUAUCAUACCUACGCUUAGGAUGUUGACGAUCAGCUGAGCGCG
rnacentral:rRNA from 1 species